GUCACUUCUGGGUCUUUUGGUUAAGAUCAAGUAUAGUGUCUGUUAUCAGUUUAGUAUUUGAUACAUCUUCAAUCUGAGGACAAUGUAUUAUCUGGGUUUUUGGAGCAGGGAGAUAGAAUAAGAGCUUGUUCUGUCCAUUCCAUACAUUGGCCUGAUAUUAGAAUACCUCCAAUAAUCAAUGUAUACCCU
ensembl:snRNA U2 U2 spliceosomal RNA